GCUGUGUAUAUAACGACAAACAGGAAGAGCGGUAUAUAUAACGACAAACAGGAAGAGCGGUGUAUGACGACAAACAGGAAGAGUGGUAUAUAUAACGACAAACAGGAAGAGCGGUGUAUAACGACAAAGUUGUGCAGUAUAUAACGGCAAACAGGAAGAGCGCGGUGUAUAACGACGAACAGGAAGAGCGGUGUAUAUAACGACGAACAGGAAGAGCGGUGUAUAACGACAAACAGGAAGAGCGGUGCAUAACGACAAACAGGAAGAGCGGUAUAUAAAAAAAUGAGCAAAAACCCCCAAAUAGCUUACAUCAUGUGAUUAUUCUGUGAAGCUGCUUCACAUUAUUAGUCUGAAAUCAGAAGCUUUAGCUGUUCAAAGUCUCAGUUGCGUUAAGAACACGUCAGAAUUCUAUACAAUUCUAUGUUUAUAUAAACGAAAGCGUGUUUUAGUUCUGAGAAAUCCUGCAAACGCGGCAAACGCGGCAAACGCGGCAAACGCGGCUAACGCGGCUAACGCGGCUAACGCGGCUAACGCGGCUAACGCGGCUAACGCGGCUAACGCGGCUAACGCGGCUAACGCGGCUAACGCGGCUAACGCGGCUAACGCGGCUAACGCGGCUAACGCGGCCGUGGACCGAGCUUGGCGUAGAUGUUGGGGAACUGCAGCUGACAUUUGAACUCGUCAAACGUGCAGCACUUUAUAGGAAUCAGAUAUUAAUCUGCCGUGAUGCUGUGUUUAUUAUUACCCUGCCUGUAUUGUGUCCCGGAGAGUACCUCUUUAGUGUUUCACAACAGUCCCGAGUUUCCAGAGAAGAUGUGGGUGUGUGUGGAACGGUGGGGGGAAAAAGGACAUUGUGUUGUCUAAUGAAAACGCUUUAGAGCUGAAAGACUCUCAGGGAGCAGGGAGGAGAGCACAGUUCAGGAGACAGGAUAAUAUCCUCCUGUCGCUCAGUCCGGCCCAUUACUGUUGUUCUGUUGUUAUAGAGGGACAAAGUGAGACAGAAAGUCAG
ensembl:lncRNA